GGCCCGGUAGCUCAGCCUGGAUAGAGCGACUGCCUUCUAAGUAGUAGGUCGCAGGUUCGAAUCCUGUCCGGGUCG
rnacentral:tRNA from 2 species